rfam:Streptomyces qinglanensis strain SCSIO M10379 scaffold1, whole genome shotgun sequence.
AGGACAGGGGGGUCCCUGCUCCACGGCAGGGCCUGUCCUUGCAAAGCAAGGUUGCGCGAGAGCGUGGCCCGUGGUUGUCGCUCGGGGGUGAUCGUCA